UACGUAGGUGGCAAGCGUUGUCCGGAAUUAUUGGGCGUAAAGCGCGCGCAGGCGGCUUCUUAAGUCUGAUGUGAAAUCUCGGGGCUCAACCCCGAGCGGCCAUUGGAAACUGGGAAGCUUGAGUACAGAAGAGGAGAGUGGAAUUCCACGUGUAGCGGUGAAAUGCGUAGAUAUGUGGAGGAACACCAGUGGCGAAGGCGACUCUCUGGUCUGUAACUGACGCUGAGGCGCGAAAGCCAGGGGAGCAAACGGG
rnacentral:rRNA from 1 species